GGUAUUCCUUAUCUGUCUAAUGGUUUGUUUGGAGCCUGUCUUCCUGCAUUCUGCAAAAAAACGCACGAAGACAGGCUCAUCAGUUUAUUCCCUUCGUCUUUCAAGC
rnacentral:sRNA from 1 species